rnacentral:rRNA from 1 species
GUAAUUCCAGCUCCAAUAGCGUAUAUUAAAGUUGUUGCAGUUAAAAAGCUCGUAGUUGAACCUUGGGCCUGGCUGAUCUGUCCUCCUAAUCGAGCGCACGGAUUCGGUCGGGCCUUUCCUUCUGGGGAGCCGCAUGCCCUUCACUGGGCGUGUCGGGGAACCAGGACUUUUACCUUGAAAAAAUUAGAGUGUUCAAAGCAGGCCUUUGCUCGAAUACAUUAGCAUGGAAUAAUAGAAUAGGACGUGUGGUUCUAUUUUGUUGGUUUCUAGGACCGCUGUAAUGAUUAAUAGGGAUAGUCGGGGGCGUCCGUAUUCAAUUGUCAGAGGUGAAAUUCUUGGAUUUAUUGAAGACGAACUACUGCGAAAGCAUUCGCCAAGGAUGUUUUCAUUAAUCAGUGAACGAAAGUUAGGGGAUCGAAGACGAUCAGAUACCG